rnacentral:rRNA from 1 species
GACGAACGCUGGCGGCGUGCUUAACACACGCAAGUCGAGCGAGAGAAAUUCCUUCGGGAAGGACUCUAGCGGCGGACGGGUGAGUAACACGUGGGUAACCUGCCUCAUAGAGGGGAAUAGCCUUUCGAAAGGAAGAUUAAUACCGCAUAAGAUUGUAGUAUCGCAUGAUGCAGCAAUUAAAGGAGUAAUCCGCUAUGAGAUGGACCCGCGUCGCAUUAGCUAGUUGGUGAGGUAACGGCUCACCAAGGCGACGAUGCGUAGCCGACCUGAGAGGGGGAUCGGCCACAUUGGGACUGAGACACGGCCCAGACUCCUACGGGAGGCAGCAGUGGGGAAUAUUGCACAAUGGGGGAAACCCUGAUGCAGCAACGCCGCGUGAGUGAUGACGGUCUUCGGAUUGUAAAACUCUGUCUUCAGGGACGAUAAUGACGGUACCUGAGGAGGAAGCCACGGCUAACUACGUGCCAGCCGCCGUAACAC